AAACUAUGAUGAUGUUGUCAUCAUACGACACUUCUCCAAUGAUAAAGCAGAGGGUGUUCAGGAGGAGCAUGAUGAUGUGAAGAAUGUCAGAGAAUCUAUGAGUGACAUGUUUGACUAUGAUGAUGUGGAGGAGGAUCCAGGAAAACAGGCAGGAGCUGUAUAACUCAAACCUCACACACUGCCUCAAAUCCUUUCAAAGAUUUUAAAGUUUAAGUGGUCUUACUAUAUAAGGUUCAGUUGCAAUCUAAUAGUUUGUUACCUUCUGUAUUGAAAUUUACAACUGCAAUUUUAUUUUUUUUUUAAGUGUUUGACUUUUUCCAGGUACUUUUACAACUUUUUUUCAGAUAAUUUUCUGACACUCAGUUAAUUUGAAAGAACAUAAUUGUGUUGAGUUCAAGUCGUUCACCAUUAAUCUACCACCCAUCAUUAACAGAUUACAUUAUCUGCAACUUAC